rnacentral:rRNA from 1 species
UGAGGAAUAUUGGACAAUGGGUGAGAGCCUGAUCCAGCCAUCCCGCGUGAAGGAUGACGGUCCUAUGGAUUGUAAACUUCUUUUGUACAGGGAUAAACCUACUCUCGUGAGGGUAGCUGAAGGUACUGUACGAAUAAGCACCGGCUAACUCCGUGCCAGCAGCCGCGGUAAUACGGAGGGUGCAAGCGUUAUCCGGAUUUAUUGGGUUUAAAGGGUCCGUAGGCGGACUUGUAAGUCAGUGGUGAAAUCUCAUAGCUUAACUAUGAAACUGCCAUUGAUACUGCAGGUCUUGAGUAAAUUUGAAGUGGUUGGAAUAAGUAGUGUAGCGGUGAAAUGCAUAGAUAUUACUUAGAACACCAAUUGCGAAGGCAGGUCACUAAGAUUUAACUGACGCUGAUGGACGAAAGCGUGGGGAGCGAACA